UACAGAGGGUGCGAGCGUUGUCCGGAAUCACUGGCGGUAAAGGGCGCGUAGGCGGCUUGGUAAGUAGGGGGUGAAAUCUCAUGGCUCAACUGUGAGGCUGCCUUCUAGACUGCCGGGCUUGAGCACAGUAGAGGCGAGUGGAAUUCCCGGUGUAGCGGUGGAAUGCGUAGAGAUCGGGGAGAACAUCGGUGGCGAAGGCGGCUCGCUGGGUUGUUGGUGACGCUGAGCCGUGAAAGCGUGGGGAGCAAACAGG
rnacentral:rRNA from 1 species